AUGAAGAAUGGAGGACAUUCUGCGGGAGUGGUGGUGGCAGUUUCUGAUGAUUGUUAUUUUAUGGCGUGCGAUUUUCCGCGUAUCAAUUUUGAGCAUUGUAAUAGAAAAGCAAAUAAAGUUGCUCACAAACUUGCUAGAUUAGCUAAAUUUUCCGUGACUAGAGAUUGUUUUGAGAAACCUAUGAAUGAUAUUGUAACUUUUCUUAUUAACGAUGUAACUGUUAUUUCCAAUGAAUAA
rnacentral:rRNA from 1 species